GAUGAAGAACGUAGCGAAUUGCGAUAAGUAAUGUGAAUUGCAGAAUUCAGUGAAUCAUCGAAUCUUUGAACGCACAUUGCGCCCCUUGGUAUUCCGAGGGGCAUGCCUGUUCGAGCGUCAUUAUAACCCCUCAAGCUCGGCUUGGUGUUGGGGCCUGCCGCACGGGCAGCCCUUAAAAUCAGUGGCGGUGCCAUCUGGCUCUAAGCGUAGUAAUUCUUCUCGCUAUAGAGUCCCGGUGGAUGCUUGCCAUUAACCCCCAAUUUCAAUGGUUGACCUCGGAUCAGGUAGGGAUACCCGCUGAACUUAAGCAUAUCAAUAAGCGGAGGA
rnacentral:misc_RNA from 1 species